ACGAAGGGGAAAAACUAUUUGGCUGAGGUCAGCAGAGCCCAACAAGCAUGGGUUUGGCAAGCUACUGUUUCCUUUCCAGAAGGCAAGCCUGCAUGCCAGUACUCCUUCAGGCUCUCAUCACUGGAGACAGGACAACAGCUGCAGUGGCACUGGAGGACAGUUCCCAGGCCCUGGUGAAGGAGUUGGAAUGGAAGCCCAGCCCAGGCAGAGGCAUCUUUGAAGGGCCAUCAGACAGUCUCUACUCCCUCUCUUCUCCCUUCCGCACUUCUAGGGCUGGCUACAUGGAGGGGGUGUGCCCACAGCAUAUCUUCUGUGUGAGAGUGAGAGACGGAGAAAGGGAAGGAAAGACACCUGCAGUACUUCUCCACUGCUUGCAAAGCUUCCCACCAGGUCCUCACACAUAGUCAUGUGAGCAUUCUACCAG